rnacentral:rRNA from 1 species
UGGAUCCAGACUUUGAUCCUGGCUCAGGAUGAACGCUAGCUACAGGCUUAACACAUGCAAGUCGAGGGGAAACGAUAUUGGAAGCUUGCUUCCGAUAGGCGUCGACCGGCGCACGGGUGAGUAACGCGUAUCCAACCUGCCCACCACUUGGGGAUAACCUUGCGAAAGUAAGACUAAUACCCAAUGAUAUCUCUAGAAGACAUCUGAAAGAGAUUAAAGAUUUAUCGGUGAUGGAUGGGGAUGCGUCUGAUUAGCUUGUUGGCGGGGUAACGGCCCACCAAGGCGACGAUCAGUAGGGGUUCUGAGAGGAAGGUCCCCCACAUUGGAACUGAGACACGGUCCAAACUCCUACGGGAGGCAGCAGUGAGGAAUAUUGGUCAAUGGGCGAGAGCCUGAACCAGCCAAGUAGCGUGCAGGAUGACGGCCCUAUGGGUUGUAAACUGCUUUUAUAAGGGAAUAAAGUGAGCCUCGUGAGGCUUUUUGCAUGUACCUUAUGAAUAAGGACCGGCUAAUUCCGUGCCAGCAGCCGCGGUAAUACGGAAGGUCCGGGCGUUAUCCGGAUUUAUUGGGUUUAAAGGGAGCGUAGGCCGGAGAUUAAGCGUGUUGUGAAAUGUAGACGCUCAACGUCUGCACUGCAGCGCGAACUGGUUUCCUUGAGUACGCACAAAGUGGGCGGAAUUCGUGGUGUAGCGGUGAAAUGCUUAGAUAUCACGAAGAACUCCGAUUGCGAAGGCAGCUCACUGGAGCGCAACUGACGCUGAAGCUCGAAAGUGCGGGUAUCGAACAGGAUUAGAUACCCUGGUAGUCCGCACGGUAAACGAUGGAUGCCCGCUGUUGGUCUGAAUAGGUCAGCGGCCAAGCGAAAGCAUUAGGCAUCCCACCUGGGGAGUACGCCGGCAACGGUGCAACUCAAAUGAAUUGACGGA